rnacentral:rRNA from 1 species
UACGUAGGGGGCAAGCGUUGUCCGGAUUUAUUGGGCGUAAAGAGCUCGUAGGCGGUUUGUUGCGUCGGCCGUGAAAACCUGCAGCUUAACUGUGGGCCUGCGGCCGAUACGGGCAGACUUGAGUUCGGUAGGGGAGACUGGAAUUCCUGGUGUAGCGGUGAAAUGCGCAGAUAUCAGGAGGAACACCGGUGGCGAAGGCGGGUCUCUGGGCCGAUACUGACGCUGAGGAGCGAAAGCGUGGGGAGCGAACAGG